AACGUAGGUUCCGAGCGUUAUCCGGAUUUACUGGGCGUAAAGCGCGUUCAGGCGGUUUGGCAAGUCGGGCAUGAAAUCUCUCGGCUCAACCGGGAGAGGUUGUCCGAUACUGCUGGACUUGAGGGCAGUAGAGGGUGGUGGAAUUCCGGGUGUAGUGGUGAAAUGCGUAGAUAUCCGGAGGAACACCAGUGGCGAAAGCGGCAGACUUGACCCUUCCUGACGCUGAGGCGCGAAAGCUAGGGGAGCAAACGGG
rnacentral:rRNA from 1 species